UUUACCAACACAAACCAACCAAGAAAGAUAGAAGAAAUGAACUUGCAACAUGACAACCACAAACCAAGUGUAUUGUUCUCAUUUAUUCUAUUCAAAGCAUCAUGUACACAAACAUCCCCUUCCAAAUGGGCUCAUUAAAAUGGAGGAGGCCCACCAUGUGGCCCACCAGGAGGCCCACCAAAGAUAGGCCCACAGCAGCUCUCUAGGAUGCAGCAACAGCACAGGAAAUAGAAACUGCCAAAUAAAAAUCGUGUCAUAAAUUAAUAAUAACAUGACUGAUCAUUUUUGUUACUGAUAACCCUUCUUUCCUAAGGCAUUGUUUGGUUAGAAUCCCAAAAGCACUUUUUCUCCUUUUUUAGUUUCAAAAAUUAUUUUCAUGUUAAAUGUGAACCCAAACAUUACCCAAAUGAUUCUGGGUUUUGAAGAUAGCUAUAAAACUCAUAGAUCUACCCAAAAAUGAACGAUGGGGAAUUAAUAAAGAAAAAAAAUUAAAAUUAAAUAAAAUGAAAAAAGUCUCCAAAAGAACUCACCAUGUAGACACGGCCCUGCAAAUACCACCGCAAAGAAAAGCAAAGCAGCCACAAGGGCCUCCAGGCCCUCCUGGUCCCGGGGGUCCCCAACCUGGAGGAGGCAUCUUUUUCUCUCACUUUCUCGAGAAAAUGCAAAGCAGGGAGAUGAACUUAGCGUGGUAGAACAACACCAAUGGUAUUCUAUAUAUAUAUAUAGAAUUUUGGAGCGAUGACUAAAGAGAAGAAAACUUAACGAUGGAGUAUUCUUGAAUCUUGAUCUUUCUAGGCCAGUAUUUGACCGGUAAGUAAAGGUGGAGAAACAGUUGGUUGGGAUAAGGAUGACUGGAGGGGGCAGCUGCCUUUCUUCGGCCUACCUUUCAAAGCCACUAGUUGUUUUCAAUUUUGAAAGCUCCAUGUGACUUUCCUUUUAGUUUUUCUCUCUCUCCUCCUCUUCUUUUCUCACUGAGUCCACCAGUAGGGAAUCGACGCCUGGUUUCAAUUUCAAUCCCAUAGAAGAACAAAAGAAAACGUGAAAUAUGGUUUAGAAUUGGAUCUUUGUCUGAAGAGAAAAUUGGAUUUCACAGCUCCCAAUAGAUUGUUUUGCUAAAAUAAAAUGGCUAAAAAUAUGCACUGUUUUUUAAAGCAUUUUUAUAGUCCGUUUACAAAUCAAUUAGAAAAUAAGGGCACGUCUGGUAAUUGUUAUGUUCUCACGUUUGACAAUCAAAAACACCCUUUUUUUUUUUUUGUUAUUAAAAACAAUACAAAAAUGUUUCAAAUAAUAUUUUUUUAAUAAUUUUUAAAUUUUUUUAGAGUUAUUUUAAAAAAUAAUUAUACAAAAAUGUAGAAUAAUUAAAAAUAAAAUACUAUAUAUAAAAAUUAUUUUUAAAACAAAUUUUAAAAAUAUUAAAAACGAAAUUAAAAUCAUUUUAAGUUUCCAAAUAAACUUUUGUUUUACAAAACACUAUAUUAAGAAUUGCUCUCAAAAAUUGUUUUUAAAAGUAUGUCCUAAGUAAACUUUUCAAAAUAUAAAAUCAAUUGAUGUGAUUAUUAAACUAAAAUCAUCAAUAUAUCUUUUAAAAAUUACUUCAUUGUUAGGCAAAACAUCAAAAAAUAAUAAUAAUUUUUGUAUCUAAAUGCUAACUAAUUCUUCAUAAGAAUAUUAUUGAUAAUUUUUUAAUAAUAUUAAAAAUAUUUUUAUCAAAAUUGCUUCCAAUAUUGCUAUGUUUUUAUCACAAAAAUCAAUAAAAUUUAGGGUUAUUUAAUUAAAAGUCAUUAAAAACCUAAUUUUGAUAAUUUAACUUUUCAUCAUUUUUUUGCUAUAUUUUGAUAAAAAUAUCCUCAUUCUUUUCUUUUAAAAAUAACUUUUUUGUUUAAAACCUACAUAUAAAUACUUCAAAUAGUCGAGAGCAUUUAUGUCAAAAAUUAGUUACUCUUCAGUAAGAACAUGGAAGAGGUUUAAUUUAUAAAUAUGAAGAUUAUUUCAUCUUUUUUAACUAAUUAAUCCUAAAAUUUGUUUCAACAACAUACCCAUUUAUGUUUUAUGAUUAAUUUCCCUUAUUAAUUAAUCCAAUAAUACAAAUUAAAUAGAAAAAAAUUGAAAAUCCAAAACUACUUGUAAAAAUAUUAGGUGGCAUUAAGUGAAAAAUGGAUGAGAUUUGGUAUAGAUUUGGAUUUCUUGUCUCUUUUAGCAAAACAAAAACAAAAGGAAAAAAAAUCACAAAAUUAAAGUCAAAUGAUGACAAUUAUAAAUCUCAAUUAUUUAAUACAAAAGCAAGCAUCUUGAUAGUGACAGCCAAAUUAAAAUCAAAUUAAUCUCUAACCCUUAAAGAAUGACUCCACCAUGACUCCAAACUUUGAAGGAAAUAAUUUAUAUAAAGCUACAAGCCAUUAAUAAAAACAAGGCCCAUUGGAAUGGGGGCAAGUGGGGGUGACAAAUGGAUUAAAAAAUGUUGGUGACUUGCAAUUGGAAAUCUUUGCCAUCAAUGGGCCAGCUAGUCUUUUUGCCUUGGCACUUUUGUUAACAGGGUGGCUUCAAUUAUGUCACAAUUCUUAAAUAUUUGAUAAGGGUAACAAUAAUUGGAAGAGAAUGCAUGUGAUACCCCCUUGUAUUUCAGUGUCAGAGCAUGGCCAUGUGUCUAGUUAAUAAGCAUUAUUGUUGGACAAGUGUCAUCUGCUCAUGGUGACUUAUAAUGACUUGGUUGGUGCAAAUUCAUUAUCACCCAACUACCACCUACUCUAAAUAUUUUCUUAAUCUAUUUUCAAAAAUGAAGAAAAUUUAAAAGAAAAUUAUUUUUAAAUUUUUUUUUGAAAAAAAUAAUCUCUCUUGCAAGCACAAUGUUAUAAUAUGCUAUCUAUAAUAACUCACCCUUUUUUCAUAGAGAUUUUAUCCACUCUACAUCUAUUAAAAGGUAAAUAAAUUUCUAAUUUUACCUCAAACACAAAGCAAAAAACAUACUUUAAUAGAAUUCUUUAGAAAAAAAAUAAAUAAAUAACUCCAAAUGGGCAAAUAUGGAUUAAGUAUCCCCUGCUUCAACUAUUACAUAUACUUCAAAUACAUAAACUAGUCUAACUAUCCAUAGUUUUAUCAUAUAUGACAUCUAAUUUCAAAAUAAUUGGAAUACAUAAUCAUUAUUGGAGAUGCUUUAACGUAUUUGCUCUUUAUAUCUCUUGCUUGGAGGUGUCCCCUACAUAGUCUUCAUCCUCUCCCCUUUGCAGGCCUUUUACUUUCUUUUUCCUUUUCUAGGUAUGCUCAAUAUUAUCUCAUCUUUUCUCUUUAUUGGGGUCUAAGCCUUGUGGAUGAGUGAGGUAUUUCAAUUGCUUGUGAUAGAGGUACCUGCUUUUGCCUCAAGUAGGGGUCAUCUACCACUACCUACCCCAAGUCUAUUUACCUCCCAUUAUAAUCUAUGUGGAAGUAAAGAAUCAAAUAAAAAUCUCAAUAAUAUAAUUAAAGGUUACUCUAUCGAUCUUAGGGAAAUCAAAAUAGAAAAGAAUUCAUCUUAGAGUAAAAUCAAUAUUCAUACUUAUACUAAACUCAAUUGUCUUGUAACUUUCAAAUCAAUUCUCCCUCUAAACAAAAUUUUAAGAGGUAAUUAUAUUAUAUUCUAUAUAUAUAUAUAUAUGUAUGUAUGUAUGUAUGUAUUGGCUCAAGUCUUGUGGAUGAGUGAGGCAUUUAAGUUGCUUGUGAUAGAGGUGCUUGCUUUUGCCUCAAGUGAGGUCAUCUUUCUCUAUCAACCCCAAGUCUAUUUACCUCCAAUUAUAAUCUCUACGGAAGUAAAGAAUCAAUAACAAUCUUGACAAUAAAAUUAAAGGUUACUCUAUCGACUUUAAGGAAGUCAAAAUAGAAAAGAAUUCAUCUUAGAGUAAGAUCAAUGUUCAUACUUAUACUAGACUCAACUAUCUUAUAACAUUCAAAUCAAUUCUCCCUCUAAACAAAAUUUUAAGAAGUAAUUAUGUUUUAUAUAUAUAUAUAUAUAUAUAUAUAUAUAUAUAUAUAUAUAUAUAUAUAUUGGCUCAAGUCUUGUGGGUGAGUGAAUGAGUUGUGAUAGAGGUACUUGCUUUUGCCUCAAGUGGGGUCAUCUACCUCUCUACCUACCCUGAGUCUAUUUACCUCCAAUUAUAAUCUUUACGGAAGUAAAGAAUCAAUAACAAUCUCGACAAUAAAAUUAAAAGGUUAUUCUAUCGACUUUGGGGAAGUCAAAAUAUAAAAUAAUUUAUCUUAGAAUAAGAUCAAUGUUCAUACUUAUACUAGACUCAACUGUCUUACAAUGUUUAAAUCGAUUCUCCCUCUAAACAAAAUUUAAAAAAUAAUUAUAUUAUAUAUAUUAAAGGGGCAAUCAACUUCUAAUUUUUAUAGUUAUAAAUAAAUAUAAUUUGCCUCAAGUCUUGUGGAUGAGUGAGGCAUUUCAACUACUUACGUUAGGGUACUUACUUUUGCCUCAAGUAGGGGUCAUCUACCUCUACCUACCCCUAGUCGGUAUACCUCUAAUUAUAAUCUCUAUGGAAGUAAAGAAUCAAUAAAAAUCUCGACAAUAUAAUUAAAGGCUACUCUAUCAACGUUGAGGAAGUCAAAAUAGAAAAAAAUUCAUCUUAGAGCAAAAUCAAUGUUCAUACUUAUACUAGACUCAAUUGUCAAAGGGUAGUUAACUUCUAAUUUUUAUGGUUAAAAAUAAAUACAAAAUUAUAUUUAAAAGAAUCUUAUAAGUAUUGAAAAGUAGAAAAUAAAGAAAUAACAAUUUGGUAUGAAAUACUCUUUUUUUUAAAUGUGUAUGCAAAUGGUAGUAAAGUGUUUUUAGAAGACCAAAAUUUUACUUUUUCUUUUCAAAAGAUGAUUUCAUGGUAUACGAAUUAAUAAUAUACUACCACAUUUACACGUAAUAGAAUUAUGAGAGAAUGUGAUAAUAGUCUUGUUUCGUGAUUCACCUUCAUUUCAAUCUAAUCGAAAUUGGUAUAAUUUAAGAUGAGUCCACCUUGACAAAUUUUUAACUCUAAUUAUCAAACCAAUAUUCUUAAAUUAUGUCAUGUAUUUAAUAAGAGGUCAAACCAAGCCUACUACCAAAGACACCUUGACUAUAUUCUCAACUCUAGCAAAUAUAAAACAUUUAAGUGUUAUGUCAAAAGAUCUGUAGGGGUAGGUGACAUUUGGUAUGAUGAUAAAAUCAAUUGAACGACCACCUCUAGAAACAUGGAAAUAUCCUCUUAAUGAUAUCAUUAAUUGUAUGAAUUAUAAUCUCAUCAUGCAUAAUUAUAAAUAAGCUAUAAAUUCAAUAUUAGCACUAAAUGAAUUCAUUAAAAAUAUAACGAGUGUCAACUUAAUAACUUAAAGUGACUUAAAAACUUAAUUUAAGACAUUCAGUAAAUUAAGUAUAUUUGAUAAAAUAAUUUAAUGGUAUGAUUUAAAGUCAAAAAUAAUUUUAAAUAAUAAGUAAAAAUAAUUAAUUUAUUCUUAAAUCCAUAUAUUCAUUUUUAUCUUUUUAUCCUCAUUUAUCAUAAUUACCUCCACAAUCUUUUCUGCUAUUCCACGACUUUUAUUGUUACUCGAUCUCAUUUAUUCUAAUUAUGAUUUAUGAGGAUAAAUAUGUUAAUUUAAUGAUUUAAAAUUAAUUUUAUUAAAUGACCUUAAAAUUUAAAAGUAAAAAUUAACUAAUAAAUUUUAAAUCAAUAACUUAAAUAUAAUUCAACUUAAAGUCAACUUAAAUUAUUAAAUAAUAAAUAUUAAAUUUACUAAACAUCCUCUAUAUUUAUAACUUUUUCUUUCGUGUAUAGGUAUAUAAUUUUUUUUCUUCUAUAGCGAGGAAGAAACAUUAUAUUUUAUAUUGAUUGGAAAAUGAUAUUUUGAAUUGAUGACUCGUAAUUAAUUUGUACACAAUUAAUUCUACGAUGAUGAUAACAUCCAUUUGACUCUAAUUCUUACAUAUCCAAAAGUAGGGUAAUGUGAUAAUAUAAAUAUAUUGAAUUGAUAGACUCGUAAUCAAAUUGUACUCAACAUGCUAACAUCCAUUUGACUUCUCCAUCCUCAUUCAAAGAUAGCCAAAGCUGAGUGACGUGACGUGAUGGAAACUUAAAUGCUAUGUUUGGUAUUGAAAAAACGAAAUAUAAUAUAAAAAGAAAUUAAUAAAAAAUUUAUAUAUUUUUAAGAAUUAAAAUAUUAUAUUUUUUAAAGACUAUUUUCAAACUCAUAAUACUUUUUUAGGCACUCUCUUUUAAAAAAUUCAAAUCCAAUUUUAAAAUUUAUAAAUUAUUUUUUCAAACGAUAACUUUUUUUAAUUAAAUUUUGUCCGUAAAUUUAAAAAAAUUUCUUGAAUCGUGGUAUUUUAAAAUAGAUUUUUUAAAAAUUAUUAUAUUUUUCUUUUAAUCUCUUGCUUUUUCUUUUAUUCUUUUUUUUCUUUUCCUUAUAUUUUGAUAAUCACUCGUGUGCAAAGAAUAGAAGCUUGGCUUUAAUUUGAUUAGGAUUUUGGUGAAUGCUAGCACAUGGGGAUAUCACUAGACCCCACCAAUCAUGAGUAUGGCAACCAUUGAUCCUACUUAAUUUGCAACUAACCAUUUGAUCUGGUGGACAGGUGAACUAAUCAGAAGGUUGGAUUAUUUUACAAGGAAUCAAAUCAAAGCUAUGAAUUGUAGGGUCAUGAUUCACUUAUUCCAUACACACCAUCUUAUAAUCAUAACAAACAACAAUUUAAAGGAUAAACUGAGAAGUAGAGCUAGCUAUUUCUCCAAGGAGAACUAAUGGAUAAAUGUAGAACACCCUGAUGGCAUACAGAACAGCUGAUUAUGGAGGUGGGCCUCCAGGUCCACCUGGGCCUCCAGGACCACCAAAGCAAUCCUGUAGCAACCAGCAACAGCACAAGAAGUUCAGGCUGCAACCAAAAUCAAGACCAAAAUUAAACUCUGAAAAAGAAAAAUUAAAAGUAAAUAAAUAAAUCUUCAAAUCGCAUUUCCAAACAGCCUCCUAAUGAAAAAGUUGGUCUCCAUCAACCCCACAUUGGUUAGAUUUUACCUUUUAGCAACUAAACGAGAAUUCAAAGAACAAAUGAUUUAAAAUUGGAUCAGUUUUCUGCAUGAAAGAACUUACCAUGAAGAAAUAGCAUCGCAGAAACCGCCAAAGAAACCACCCGGGCCAGGGCCACCGGGGCCAGGACCCCACCCUCCAGGCCCUCCAGGUCCUCCAGGUCCUCCAGGCCCUCCAGGUCCCAUUACUAGCCUCUCUACACCCACAAACCUACGCCAGCGCCGGACUGUGAUAUAAGCUCACAACCUCUGUUGGAAGCUCUGUGGUCGGAUGGCAAUGAGGGAAAGGUUCCGACUCUAUAUAUAGAAGCUUAUAGGAGGCGGAGGAGGGAGGGCGGUGGAGGU
rnacentral:lncRNA from 1 species